CCUACGGGGGGCUGCAGUGGGGAAUAUUGGACAAUGGGGGCAACCCUGAUCCAGCCAUGCCGCGUGUGUGAAGAAGGCCCUCGGGUUGUAAAUCACUUUCAGUGAGGAAGAACGCCUGGUGGUUAAUACCCAUCAGGAAAGACAUCACUCACAGAAGAAGCACCGGCUAACUCCGUGCCAGCAGCCGCGGUAAUACGGAGGGUGCGAGCGUUAAUCGGAAUUACUGGGCGUAAAGCGCGCGUAGGUGGCUUGAUAAGCCGGUUGUGAAAGCCCCGGGCUCAACCUGGGAACGGCAUCCGGAACUGUCAAGCUAGAGUGCAGGAGAGGAAGGUAGAAUUCCCGGUGUAGCGGUGAAAUGCGUAGAGAUCGGGAGGAAUACCAGUGGCGAAGGCGGCCUUCUGGACUGACACUGACACUGAGGUGCGAAAGCGUGGGUAGCAAACAGGAUUAGAUACCCUGGUAGUC
rnacentral:rRNA from 1 species